rnacentral:tRNA from 2 species
GGUGGUGUAACUCAAUCGGCAGAGUGCUAGAUUGUCUAUCUGGAAGUUGCGAGUUCAACUCUCGUCACCAUCGCCA